UGGGGAAUAUUGCACAAUGGGGGAAACCCUGAUGCAGCGAUGCCGCGUGAAGGAAGAAGGUAUUCGUAUCGUAAAGUUCUGUCCUAUGGGAAGAUAAUGACAGUACCAUAGAAGAAAGCUCCGGCUAAAUACGUGCCAGCAGCCGCGGUAAUACGUAUGGAGCGAGCGUUGUCCGGAAUUAUUGGGCGUAAAGGGUACGCAGGCGGUUUAAUAAGUCGAAUGUUAAAGAUCGGGGCUCAACCCCGCAACGCAUUGGAAACUGAUAAACUUGAGUAGUGGAGAGGAAAGUGGAAUUCCCAGUGUAGUGGUGAAAUACGUAGAUAUUAGGAGGAAUACCAGUAGCGAAGGCGACUUUCUGGACACAAACUGACGCUGAGGUACGAAAGCGUGGGGAGCAAACAGG
rnacentral:rRNA from 1 species